rnacentral:rRNA from 1 species
AUGAACGCUAGCUACAGGCUUAACACAUGCAAGUCGCGGGGCAGCAUGGGGGUUGCUUGCAAUCCCCGAUGGCGACCGGCGCACGGGGGAGUAACGCGUAUCCAACCUGCCCUUCACCACGGGAUAACCCGGCGAAAGUCGGACUAAUACCGUAUGUUGUCCAUUGACGGCAUCCGAUUUGGACGAAAGGUGUGGCGGUGAAGGAUGGGGAUGCGUCCGAUUAGCUGGACGGCGGGGUGACGGCCCACCGUGGCGACGAUCGGUAGGGGUUCUGAGAGGAAGGUCCCCCACACUGGAACUGAGACACGGUCCAGACUCCUACGGGAGGCAGCAGUGAGGAAUAUUGGUCAAUGGGCGUAAGCCUGAACCAGCCAAGUAGCGUGCAGGAGGACGGCCCUAUGGGUUGUAAACUGCUUUUAUGCGGGGAUAAAGUGGCCCACGUGUGGGUUUUUGCAGGUACCGCAUGAAUAAGGACCGGCUAAUUCCGUG